rnacentral:rRNA from 1 species
AGUCAAUAGAUACCCUGGUAGUCCAUGCCGUAAACGAUGAUUGCUAGGUGUGGGGGGUCCGACCCCUUCCGUGCCGGAGUUAAACACAAAUAAGCAAUCCACCUGGGGAGUACGGCCGCAAGGUUGAAACUCAAAGGAAUUGACGGGGGCCCGCACAAGCAGUGGAGUAUGUGGUUUAAUUCGAAGCAACGCGAAGAACCUUACCAGGUCUUGACAUCCACCGAAUCCUGUAGAGAUACGGGAGUGCCCUUCGGGGAACGGUGAGACAGGUGGUGCAUGGUUGUCGUCAGCUCGUGUCGUGAGAUGUUGGGUUAAGUCCCGCAACGAGCGCAACCCUUGUGAAUAGUUGCUACGAAAGAGCACUCUAUUCAGACCGCCGUUGACAAAACGGAGGAAGGUGGGGAUGACGUCAAAUCAUCAUGCCCCUUAUGACCUGGGCUACACACGUACUACAAUGGCCGUUAACAGAGGGAUGCAAUGCCGCGAGGUGGAGCGAACCCCUAAAAACGGUCUCAGUUCAGAUUGCAGGCUGAAACUCG